rnacentral:rRNA from 1 species
CCUACGGGGGGCAGCAGUGGGGAAUAUUGGACAAUGGGGGGAACCCUGAUCCAGCCAUGCCGCGUGUGUGAAGAAGGCCCUCGGGUUGUAAAGCACUUUCAGUGAGGAAGAACGCCUGGUGGUUAAUACCCAUCAGGAAAGACAUCACUCACAGAAGAAGCACCGGCUAACUCCGUGCCAGCAGCCGCGGUAAUACGGAGGGUGCGAGCGUUAAUCGGAAUUACUGGGCGUAAAGCGCGCGUAGGUGGCUUGAUAAGCCGGUUGUGAAAGCCCCGGGCUCAACCUGGGAACGGCAUCCGGAACUGUCAAGCUAGAGUGCAGGAGAGGAAGGUAGAAUUCCCGGUGUAGCGGUGAAAUGCGUAGAGAUCGGGAGGAAUACCAGUGGCGAAGGCGGCCUUCUGGACUGACACUGACACUGAGGUGCGAAAGCGUGGGUAGCAAAUAGGAUUAGAUACCCUUGUAGUC